rnacentral:rRNA from 1 species
UGGCGAUCACGGGUAACGGGGAAUUAGGGUUCGAUUCCGGAGAGGGAGCCUGAGAAAUGGCUACCACAUCUAAGGAAGGCAGCAGGCGCGUAAAUUACCCAAUCCUAAUUCAGGGAGGUAGUGACAAGAAAUAACAACUCGGGCCCCACAUGGGGUUGCGAGAUUGCAAUGAGAACAAUUUAAACCACUUAUCGAGUAACAAUUGGAGGGCAAGUCUGGUGCCAGCAGCCGCGGUAAUUCCAGCUCCAAUAGCGUAUAUUAAAGUUGUUGCAGUUAAAAAGCUCGUAGUUGAAUUUCUGGCCGGCGCUGUUCACGGCUCUCGCAGUCGGUUCAGGAGCCUGGUCAUCCGUAUGGGAAGCUAGCACGUCCUUCAGUGGUCGGCUAGUGGAUCAUACACUUUACUUUGAAAAAAUUAGAGUGUUUCAGGCAGGCAAUUGCUUGGAUACUGCAGCAUGGAAUAAUGGAAUAGGACUUUGACCUAUUUGUUGGUUUCUUGAGGUCAAAGUAAUGAUUAAUAGGGACAGUUGGGGGCAUCCGUAUUUAAUUGUCAGAGGUGAAAUUCUUGGAUUUAUUAAAGACGAACUUAUGCGAAAG